AAUUUAUUUGAUGGGUUAAAAAAGUAACAAGUCCUUUCUAUCAAAUUUAGUCGGUCAAAUUUUUUAUUUUAUGGACCGAAAUGAUGAGCCUAAAUAAUAAAGGCCCAUUAGAAAACCGCCUAGGGCUCGAUUUAUAUAUUUCUUCUCAACAACAUAUUCGUUUCCUUGUUUUCCAAGCUUUAGAAUUUAGAUCUCAAAGUCGUUCGUUCUCAGCUUCUUAGCAACGUCACGGCGGUUCUUGCGGCUGGGGUUUUUCCUUCCUGCUGAGGUACCGCCAUCGCCAUGGAUAAUGACUUGGAAUUAGCGAUAAAGGAUGCAAUCACCGCAGAUGAUAUUAAACGUGUGGAUCAAGAAAGUAAAGACCGUUUGUUAGCUCAGGAGCUUGAUCUUGAUUCCGUGGAGAAUCCUCCUCGGAGCCACAACUCAUACGGUCAUACCUAUCGGUUAUACUCCAAGGGUUUGGUGACUGAAGAGCUUAUUAAGGAUGAUACGGUGCUGGUCGUUGGUUUAGGUUUGUCCCUCUGUGACUCGCACGAUAACACAAAACUGGAGAUUAAUAAAGCUCUGAGAAACCAAAAGCUGGCACACCCAGAAGCUGCGGAACUGGCUGCCAUCAUUCACGGCUUGAAAUGGGCCUUGGAACUUGGUGUGGAAAGUAUCCAAUUCUUCUGUGAAGACUCCAAUAUCUUGGGCUACGUUACUCGUAAAGCUGCACCGAACGAGCCCAUUGUAGCAAAACUUUUGGAGCAAGUGUCUCUUCUUCAGACAAGAUUCACGUCUUGUCAGGCACUUGCUGUAAGCAGAGACAUCAGUUCUGUCAUUAAGCUAGCAAAAGAUGCUAUAGCUUCCGAAACUAGAUGGUGUGAAGGCGACAUUGAGUAUGAGAGUUGUCCAGUCUGCUACGCUUACGUUUCGCCUAAUGAUAAGUUUGAGGUGCACGGCUGCUUCCACCGCAUCUGCGUUACGUGCAUGAGGAAGCCGUUCUCAUCCGAACAACUACUACGAGGGAACACAGCAAUCUGCCCUUACCCGGAUUGCGAGAAUGAUUCUUGUGCCAGAGGAUUGUAGAGGUUUUGCUGAUGCUGAUGCUAUUACUCUUAUGAUCCAGCGCAAGAAGGAGAAGACGAUCCCCGUUAAAGACAGAGUCUAUUGUCCCAACCCUUCUUGUUCCUUUUUGAUGUCGGACCUCGACCUCAUUAAGCACGUACUCAAUAAUCUUCGGCAGUCAGAAGCACGGAAGUACAUGGAGUGCGGCUUGUCUUUCUGCAAAAAAUGCCAUGUUCCAUGGCACUACAAGAUGACCUGCGAUGAGUUCAAGAAGUCGGAGUCUUACCUGAAAUCUGACGCGGCGCUUUUGGAGUCUUUUGUGAAGACACAGGGAUGGCAAAAGUGUUCCCAGUGUCAGAGCAUCGUUCAACAUGGUGGCGGGUGCAUACAAAUGACUUGCAGACAUUGCAAACACGAGUUCUGUUACACAUGUGGAGCUGCGUGUAAAAAGAAGAAACUGACGUGUAAAUGCUCGCGUUCAGGGAAAUAAACAUCCAAGGUUUGACUCUAUAGAUCAUUCCAAAUAGAGACAAGAUGACUUGUUUUGAAGAUAUUAGUGAUAAGCUACUGUGUGUCUCAGUGUGAGCUUAUGUAGUCUGUAGACGCUAAAUGCAAAACUGAACAAGUAUGUGAUGCAUAUUCAUGAACUCUUGAAC